GCCAAAUUAGUCUUUUAUGAGGGAGCUUUUAGUUCCUGGAGAUAGACGAGUUUCCAGACGUGUCUGUGUGAAUGUGUGGGUAUAAGUUCCACCAUGGGACCUGGUUUCUAGUGCCAUUUCAUGAAACGAUGCACUUCUGUUAUUACACAAUACUUCUCUCAUGGACUUUCUGAGACAUGCACCAUUUCAAAAUAGUAAUGUUCUUUGUUUUUUUGUCAUCUUUUCUCCCAGUUUUGUUAUUGCUAAUGCUAAAUCCCUUGUGUGCUACAUAUCAGACUACUAUAUCAUAUGAUUCCUUGUACAUACAGUCUUCAGUGGCUUUCAUUUAUUUUUUAAAUGAGAAUGACAGAUCACCAGUGCAGUCUUAUGGUGCACUCCAUUUGCAAAGGGAAGUAGGAAUUUCUGAGUUCCCAGUUGGAAAUUUCAACUGGAAUGCCCCCUAUAGUUGGAUAUCCGAUUCGGAAAGUCAGAAGAACCUCACCAACCUUGUCUUCAAAAUCCAAGAUGGCUGCUCUGCACAUCUACAUUUAUUUGGACCUGAACAUGAACAUUUCGCGGAUCCCCAAAGGAGCACUCCAUUCCCCAGUCCAUUAUACCACAAUGCAGCAGACUCCACCACGUACUAUUUGAAUGAGGACUUCACAUUCAUGGCAAACAUGGUUGGAACUGGAGACUUUCACACCAUAACAGACAGGAGACCACUGAUGCCACAUAAAGCCCAAAAACUCUAAAAGACCUGAAUGCACAGCUAAAAUCUGCCAAGGCCAAUAAAAAACAGCUAUGGAAAGAUGCAGCAGAAAAGUUUGGCAGCCAUUUCACACAGUCUUUCUGCCCUUAUAUGGUGGCCAGGAAAUGGCUUGUUGAUGCAUACAAAAAGUGAAAGAUAAUAAUAAAAGUAGCCAUAUGCUUCCAGUUUUAUUCAGAGAUAACUGGAUGACUUUCUGGGAGGGCAACAUGAUGUGGCCUUCCCUGCUAUUGGGACA